AAGAAUAACGGCUUGUAAGAAUAAGAAUGUGGCAUCACAGAAUACUCUCAUCAAAUAUAUUCUUACAUAUGGAGUUGUUUUCUGGCUUGGGGCUCUAGGGCUUAUUUAUUAUUUGUACCGUACUGCACAGCGUACAGACGAGUACAUACUGCUAGUUCCUCUAGUGGUAAUAAUACCUUGUCUGCUCUUUGUGUUUAGG